rnacentral:tRNA from 3 species
GCACCUGUAGCUCAGCGGAUUAGAGCACUGGUCUUCGGAACCAGGUGUCGUACGUUCGAAUCGUACCAGGUGUACCA